AGUUUGAUCCUGGCUCAGAUUGAACGCUGGCGGCAUGCCUUACACAUGCAAGUCGAACGGCAGCGCGUCCUUCGGGAUGGCGGCGAGUGGCGAACGGGUGAGUAAAGCAUCGGAACGUGCCCGGUAGUGCGGGAUAGCUCGGCGAAAGCCGGAUUAAUACCGCAUGAGAUCCGUGGAUGAAAGCAGGGGACCCCUUGUGGGCCUUGCGCUACUGGAGCGGCCGAAGUCAGAUUAGGUAGUUGGUGGGGUAAAGGCCCACCAAGCCUGCGAUCUGUAGCUGGUCUGAGAGGAUGAUCAGCCACAUCGGGACUGAGACACGGCCCGAACUCCUACGGGAGGCAGCAGUGGGGAAUUUUGGACAAUGGGCGCAAGCCUGAUCCAGCCAUGCCGCGUGCAGGAUGAAGGCCCUCGGGUUGUAAACCGCCUUUGUACGGAACGAAAAGCCUCUUUCUAAUAAAGAGGGGUGAUGACGGUACCGUAAGAAUAAGCACCGGCUAACUACGUGCCAGCAGCCGCGGUAAUACGUAGGGUGCGAGCGUUAAUCGGAAUUACUGGGCGUAAAGCGUGCGCAGGCGGUCUUGCAAGACAGUGGUGAAAUCCCCGGGCUCAACCUGGGAACUGCCAUUGUGACUGCAAGGCUGGAGUACGGCAGAGGGGGAUGGAAUUCCGCGUGUAGCAGUGAAAUGCGUAGAUAUGCGGAGGAACACCGAUGGCGAGGGCAGUCCCCUGGGCCUGUACUGACGCUCAUGCACGAAAGCGUGGGAGCAAACAGGAUUAGAUACCCUGGUAGUCCACGCCCUAAACGAUGUCAACUGGUUGUUGGGGAUUUAUUUCUUCAGUAACGAAGCUAACGCGUGAAGUUGACCGCCUGGGGAGUACGGCCGCAAGGUUAAAACUCAAAGGAAUUGACGGGGACCCGCACAAGCGGUGGAUGAUGUGGUUUAAUUCGAUGCAACGCGAAAAACCUUACCCACCUUUGACAUGUACGGAAUCCUGCAGAGAUGCGGGAGUGCUCGCAAGAGAGCCGUAACACAGGUGCUGCAUGGCUGUCGUCAGCUCGUGUCGUGAGAUGUUGGGUUAAGUCCCGCAACGAGCGCAACCCUUGCCAUCAGGUAAUGCUGGGAACUCUAAGGAGACUGCCUACGCAAGUAGUGAGGAAGGUGGGGAUGACGUCAAGUCCUCAUGGCCCUUACGCCCAGGGCUACACACGUGCUACAAUGGCGACUACAGAGGGACGCAAUGCCGCGAGGUGGAGCAAAUCCCAAAAAAGUCGUCUCAGUCCGGAUCGAAGUCUGCAACUCGACUUCGUGAAGCUGGAAUUGCUAGUAAUCGUAGAUCAGCAUGCUACGGUGAAUACGUUCCCGGGCCUUGUACGCACCGCCCGUCAAGCCAUGGAAGCUGGGGGCGCCCGAUGUCAGUGAGCUAACCCGCAAGGGAAGCAGCUGCCUAAGGCGAAACCGGUGACUGGGGCUAAGUCGUAACAAGGUAACC
rnacentral:rRNA from 1 species